rnacentral:rRNA from 1 species
AACGAACGCUGGCGGCAUGCCUAACACAUGCAAGUCGAACGAGACCUUCGGGUCUAGUUGCGCACGGGUGCGUCACGCGUGGGAACCUGCCCUUAUGUUCGGGAUAACUCCCUGAAAGGGGUGCUAAUGCCGGAUAAUUUCUUCGGACCCAAGAUUUAUCGCCCUUGGGUGAGCCCGGGUUGGUUUAGCUUGUUGGUAUGGAAAAAGCCUACCACGGCUACGCUCCAUAGCUGGGCUGAGAGACUGAGCAGACACACUGCGACGGAGACACGGCCGAGACUCUUACGGGAGGCAGCAGAGGGUGAUAUUGGACAAUGGGGGAAAGGAUGAUGCAGUUAUGCCGCGUGAGUGAUGAAGGUCUUAGGGUUGUAAAGCUCUUUUACCCGGGAUGAUAAUGACAGUACCGGGAGAAUAAGCACCGGCUAACUCCGUG